AACUGGAACCUGAAACUGUCAACUGGGAGUCGCGUGAUCAGCACCAGGACAGUGAUCUGCCUGACCCCUGCCGUCCCCUACGGGAAAGUGGCCUGGCCAUGACCAACCUUUCUGCCAAAUCAGGCCAGCUGACCUGUGCGUCGGCUGGAAGGACAGAGCUCACCUCCCACCGGAAGCAGGGCAUUGCUCACAGAAGCAGCUGCAGAUCCAGGCCAGCUCAGCACGAGCCAGUGUGGAGGAGGAGGAGGAGGAGUCCUAAUGGCGGCAAAGCCUGCUGACCAGCAAGUGGGCGUUGACUCUGCUGAGCCGUGAGAGCUGACAACCUCGUGGAGCCACUUAUUCGGACACAGCGGGACUGGACCAAGUGCCUACGAGCCGGCCUCCCAGACACCUCAGGUUGCCUGAGACGUGGUGGGGUCAGGGCUACGGCUGACUCCAGAGGAAAGCCAUUUCCUGUCGCUCAGCCUGGUCAACUGGGCACCCAGCAGCAGUUCACCCGGCCCCUGUGGACACUGACAUCUGAAAUCUUGUGUAAGAGCAUAGCUACCCAUCCAUAUGGCUUAUUCAGGCAAAGAGAUGCUUACAUUCUAGCCCAAGCAAGCAACCCACGACGUUCUGUUCUAGUGGCAGGUUGGAGAAACAAAUCCUCUGUGUGGAUGCCCCGGGCCCGGGAAGCCGCUCCCACGAGCCAGCGACAAGCAUCUGCUGAGCCCAGGCAGCAGGAGCCGGGUGGCUGUGGGGACCCUGGCCGGCAGGCAGGCUCCGGAGCAGCUGUGUCUGCGGCUGCACAGGCUGCUGUGGUGACUUGGGCCCAGGGUGUGGGGCAGGGAAGGUCACCCCCGUGAGCGCCACUCGGGCCAGUCGGGAAACGUGAGGCGGCUCCCAGGACAGAAUCUGCACCACGGAGGUGUGAAGGCACAGGCGAGAAUGGCGGGCAGCGGAGACCCUGGAAGGGGACACGGCACGGGCAGGAGUGAGGCUGCCUUGUUUGGUUCCCCCUUGAACGAGAGAAAAAUCCUGAUUCUGCCGUAAUAAAAAGGAAAGAAAGACGAUUUUUGGUUUAAAAAGAAGCCACUCAAGGGUUAAAAGUUAUUUUAACAAAGGAAAUUAAUCUUCAAAGAAGCUGACGCUAGCUGGAAACUCAUCUGUGCCCGACAAGCCCGCACCGCGUGCCGCUCUGUCCUCGUGUCACCUGCGGUGAGCACCGCCCGCGUGGAGGAGGCAUCUUACAGUGGGGACAGUGGAGGCAGCGCUGACGGGGCUCCAGGCCACUGC
rnacentral:lncRNA from 1 species